UCGAGAGUUUGAUCCUGGCUCAGAACGAACGCUGGCGGCGCGCCUAAUACAUGCAAGUCGAGCGAGAAGACGUAGCAAUACGUUUGUAAAGCGGCGAACGGGUGAGGAAUGCAUGGGUAACCUACCCUAGAGUGGGGAAUAACUAGCCGAAAGGUUAGCUAAUACCGCAUACGAUUCCCGGACUUCGGUUCGGGAGGGAAAGCGAUACCGUGGGUAUCGCGCUCUUGGAUGGGCUCAUGUCCUAUCAGCUUGUUGGUGAGGUAAUGGCUCACCAAGGCUUCGACGGGUUAGCUGGUCUGAGAGGACGAUCAGCCACACUGGCACUGCGACACGGGGCCUGACU
rnacentral:rRNA from 1 species